UACGGAGGGAGCUAGCGUUGUUCGGAAUUACUGGGCGUAAAGCGCACGUAGGCGGCGAUUCAAGUGGCGGGGUAGAACGGCCGGGCUCCGAACCCGACCUGACCUCGAAACUUAGAUUGCUAGAAUUCUGGAGAGGUCAGUGGAAUUCCGAGUGUAGAGGUGAAAUUCGUAGAUAUUGGGAAGAACACCGGUGGCGAAGGCGGCUCUCUGGACCGAUACUGACGCUGAGGCGCGAAAGCGUGGGGAGCAAACAGGG
rnacentral:rRNA from 1 species